GGAAUACUGAUAUAUACCAUGCAUCAGAAUUUAGAUAUAGUAAUAUCCAUAUUUUACCAAAAACAAGUCAUUUAUGGACAUUAUCAGGAAAAUCAUAAAGGUCUGGAUCAAUCUCUUUUUCACUCCUUUGUGUUGCAUUGUAAUGCAGAGGCAACUUGUCUCUUUAAUAGCUAUGUUCAAACAUCUGGUACUAAUUAUGGCCAUUGGUCACUUAUAAUUCAAUUCGUUCUGGGCUUAGGUCCCUAUUCUGAA